CAGGGCCCUGCCAGGAAACACUGGCUCCAGGAGGCUUUUCCUCUCUCAGGCUGCAGUAGAUCCUGGGCAGAUAUCUUUGGGGUUGCCCUUCAGGGGACCUCCACCUGCCUGUGUUGGUAUUCACCUCCUGCUGCAGCCUGCCAGGUGGCAGGGCUGUUGUGGUCAGAGCCUUGCGCUUUCAUCACCCUGUUGUGAUAGGAAAAUUCAAGGUGUCCUGGCAGCAGGAAGCUCCUUUGCUCCACCCUCCGCUCCAAACACCCGGCUUCCAAGUUUAUUGAGGAUCCGCUGAACCAGAACUGCCACUACGACAAACUGAUCUGCACAGUCUCUCAGGUUGGACCUGGACCCCUGGCAUGAAGUACUUCAGCAGUGAGCCCUGGGCAGCCUUUGCCGUGCUCUUGUUCACCGCCACUCUCCCAUAUUCUUCCUCAGCAGCUGAGGAAGGCUCCAAUGUUUCAACAAGCUCCUCGCCUACGACCGAGUAUGAACCACAGUGCCUUAAAGUGAACUUCUGCACGCAAGCUGCCGUAUGUUGCCCAACGGGUAUGGACGAUUACGGAUGGAUUGCAGCUGCCGUUGGCUGGAGCCUCUGGUUUCUGACUCUCAUUCUGCUCUGUAUGGACAAGCUUAUGAAACUCCGGCCUGAUGAACCCAAGUAUUUGGUAGCCUGA
rnacentral:lncRNA from 1 species